GGAAGUCACCAUCUUGGAAUUGAUGAUACCAAAAAUAUUGCAAGAGUGGUACAACACAUGCUUAUAGAUGGUGCUCUUUUGCAAAUUACUGCAAGGAGAUUACGUGGUUCUCCUGAAAAAGUUGAGUUUCUAUUUGAAAAUGGUGGGAGUAUAUUGGCGUCACUUGGUUCCUUUAAGCAAAUGUGGUUUUCAAAAUCUGAGUUUGAGGAACAUGGAGCUUCUAAUGUUCAAAGAAAAUGCCCGUAAAGUACUUUACUGGUGCAGACAAUUAUCACAUUAGACAGAAAUUCAUGGAGCUGACUUCACUUUGAUUAGUUCGCUGACGGUAUGUGUUGCUCGGUUUUAAUAUCCUGCUUUAUAGGCGCCUAAACAAUGUACUAUAUAUAUUUACUGUACCUCUCGCGAAUCGUUGCUAAUGUUGUACAAUUACGUUACCUGACUUUUAGUUCAACAAAUUAUACUUGUUAGGGAAUCUUUCAAGUUUGUACUUGUUACUGACUUUUAGUUCAACAAAUUAUAUUUGAACAUUGACUUUUGCUUUUAGAUUA